AUGGAGUUUUCCACUCUCAGUAUUCAUCCUGGCAAGUUUAUAGGUCAGCCUGAACACAUCAGAUGCAUGCCUACUGUUGUCGAGGAUACAAAAGGAGCCCUUGAGGUGUUUAAUCUCGUCGGUGAUCCUUUUAAAUCUCACUCGUUUGAUCUCAUCGGUAGUCCUUACGAUCUUACCCCAUUUUACAUCUAUCAUACCUUUCAACAAAAGGGAGAAUCUUCCAGUGAAUGGCAGCUGUUAAAUGUUAUGGAGUUGCCUCGCGGAUAUUGUUAUUAUACUGUGGGUGCAGCUGAGGGGUUCUUAUUCCUUGGAGGGAUUGGAAAAACUCAGUCAGAGGGGUUGCCGGAUGAUUGGAGUGCAGAUGUUUUCUCACUGGAGGUCAAGACUUCUAAACUUAAGAAGGUCUGUAGAGCAACAAACGCCACUGUCUUUUGUUUUCAGUCGUACUUUGGCUUCCCGCCAUCACUGUCAACACCGAGUCUAUGA
rnacentral:rRNA from 1 species